rnacentral:rRNA from 1 species
UACGUAGGUGGCAAGCGUUGUCCGGAUUUACUGGGCGUAAAGGGCGUGCAGGCGGUUUGUUAAGUGCAGGGUGAAAGCUCCCGGCUCAACUGGGAGAGGUCCUUGCAUACUGGCAAACUCGAGGGAGGCAGAGGAAAGUGGAAUUCCCGGUGUAGUGGUGAUAUGCGUAGAUAUCGGGAGGAACACCAGUGGCGAAGGCGGCUUCCUGGACCGGUUCUGACACUGAGGAGCGAAAGCGUGGGGAGCGAUCCGG